AAAACUAUACUUUUUUGGGGUCAUUUUUAUAGUUUGUUCCUUAAAAAAGUGUUUCUGAAGUUUUGGUCUCCCACCCAGUGAAAUUGACUUUGUUUUUUUCUGAGGUGAUGGUCAAUAUUUAAAUGUUUGUCUGUAAGACUACUUCUCGUUUGAUGAUCGUUCUCUUCUGGAGAAGCAGAAAAGAAAGGGAAAAAUUCUCUGAGUGGG